GUAGGUGAACCUGCGGAAGGAUCAUUACUGAGAGGGGCUUCGCGCUCCAGGGGGCUUCGGCCCCCAACUCUCAACCCUGUGGUUGUCUUACAACUUGUUGCUUUGGCUGGCCGCUUCGGCGGGUGCCAGCCGUUAGCUAUCUAUAAAUCUUUUAAUUAGUGUCGUCGGAGUUUUAACCUUGAAUAAAGCAAAACUUUCAACAACGGAUCUCUUGGUUCUGGCAUCGAUGAAGAACGCAGCAUCUGACUGA
rnacentral:misc_RNA from 1 species